UACGUAGGGUGCAAGCGUUGUCCGGAAUUAUUGGGCGUAAAGGGCUCGUAGGCGGCCAACUAAGUCGGACGUGAAAUCCCUCAGCUUAACUGGGGAACUGCGUCCGAUACUGGAUGGCUUGGAUUUGGGAGAGGGAUGCGGAAUUCCAGGUGUAGCGGUGAAAUGCGUAGAUAUCUGGAGGAACACCGGUGGCGAAGGCGGCAUCCUGGACCAACAUUGACGCUGAGGAGCGAAAGCUAGGGGAGCAAACGGG
rnacentral:rRNA from 1 species